rnacentral:rRNA from 1 species
GAUGAACGCUAGCUACAGGCUUAACACAUGCAAGUCGUGGGGCAGCGGAUGCUUAGCUUGCUAAGUAUGCCGGCGACCGGCGCACGGGUGAGUAACGCGUACCGAACCUGCCCAUCACACAGGGAUAGGCUUGCGAAAGCAAGAUUAAUACCUGAUGGUCUCAGUUGUAUGCAUGUAUGAUUGAGUAAAGCCUUCGGGCGGUGAUGGAUGGCGGUGCGCCCCAUUAGGAAGUUGGCGGGGUAACGGCCCACCAAUCCUUCGAUGGGUAGGGGUUCUGAGAGGAAGGUCCCCCACAUUGGAACUGAGAUACGGUCCAAACUCCUACGGGAGGCAGCAGUGAGGAAUAUUGGUCAAUGGGCGAGAGCCUGAACCAGCCAAGUAGCGUGCGGGAUGAAGGCCCUUGUGGUCGUAAACCGCUUUUAUCAGUGAAUAAAGUGCACCACGUGUGGUGUCAUUGCAGGUAGCUGAAGAAAAAGGACCGGCUAAUUCCGUGCCAGCAGCCGCGGUAAUACGGAAGGUCCGGGCGUUAUCCGGAAUUAUUGGGUUUAAAGGGAGCGCAGGCGGGAGUAUAAGUCAGCUGUUAAAUAUCAGGGCCCAACUCUGUUAUGCAGUUGAAACUAUAUUUCUUGAGUACGCACAGGGAUGGCGGAAUUCAGGGUGUAGCGGUGAAAUGCUUAGAUAUCCUGAAGAACUCCGAUCGCGAAGGCAGCCAUCCGGAGCGUAACUGACGCUGAGGCUCGAAGGUGCGGGUAUCGAACAGG